rnacentral:sRNA from 1 species
AACUUGAGCCUCGGGACCACAGAGCCUAUCGGACCCAGAAACUCAACCAGCACAUUUCCAAGGCAUCCUUUGGCAGAUGAUCUUCAAGAUAAGACAUGCCCCAGAGAUGGAAUUUGUUUUGUGGUGUUGGUGAGAAUUACAUAUUCAUUGAUUCAUUUUAUGACUUAAUAAGGAAAAGGCCUGAUUUUCUAGGAACUCAUGUUUCUUUAAAUAUUUAUCAAAUUAUUUCUUUCUUGUUCUAAAAUGUCAUGGUAAAAAAUACCAUGGAUGGGUAUUUUAUAGUCUCUUUAAUUUUUAAAGAGUUUACUAAGUCAUGUUAAAACUAAGGAUUUAUUUUUCCCUUUGUUGAUUUUACCCUUCAGGAUACACACACACA